rnacentral:rRNA from 1 species
CUCCUCUAGAAAAAAAUUAAAGGUAUAAUCUGCCCAAUGAUUAUUUAAUGGCCGCGGUAAAUUGACCGUGCAAAGGUAGCAUAAUAAUUAGUCUUUUAAUUGAAGGCUUGAAUGAAUGAUUGAAUGAAAAAUUAACUUUAUUAAUAAAAUAAUUUGAAUUUAAUUUAUAAGUUAAAAAGCUUAUAUAGUUAAGUUGGACAAGAAGACCCUAUAGAAUUUAAUAAUGUUAUUAUAAAUUUAAUUUAAGUAUUAAUAAUUUAGAUAAGUAAUAUUCUUUUUUUGUUGGGGUGACAUUAAAAAAUAAUUAACUUUUAAUAUAUAUUACAUAUAUAUAUGUAAAUAAUGAUCCAAUAUAUUAUUGAUUUAAAGAAAAAAUUACCUUAGGGAUAACAGCGUUAUUAUUUUUUAGAGUUCAUAUUAAUAAAAUAGUUUGCGACCUCGAUGUUGGAUUAAGAAUAUGAUUUGGAGCAAUAUCUAAAAUAUUUAGGUCUGUUCGACCUUUUAAUUCUU